rnacentral:tRNA from 1 species
GCCCGGGUGGCGAAACUGGUAGGCGCGGCUGGCUUAAAACCGGCUGCCCGUAAGGGCGUGGGGGUUCGAAUCCCUCCCCGGGCA